CCUAGUUUUAUUGAUAUUCUCUAUAUUCAUUUCUAUAUUUAGUGGUAAUAUUAUAAUAGUAUGGUGUUUUAUUACAGGCUGACCAGAAUUACAAACACAUUGUCACAGCAGUCUUUCAACAAUCAUUGUUGAAAAAUUUUUUCCCCCAAGUUUUUAUGCUAUUAUCUUUCUGUUGGAAACAUGAGAAGUGAUCUCAUGUCAACAGUGUGAUGAUUGUUACUGCAAAUCUAAAGAAACUGGUGAGCUGUGCGACUGGCUGCAAAUACUCAUCUUGAGUAUUUGAUCUCAUACAACUGUCAGAUUGUAUAAAAACUUCAUUUUGAAAAGAAAUGCAGAAUGCUACAGUUUCCUCAGUACGGAGAUGAACAGUGUAGCAAGUCCAGGUCACCUAACCUGUAUCCCAUGAAAUCUCCAACAACUAGUUUGCAUAGAUGAUUUGAACCACUUAACCAAAGGUCGACAUGGGUUUUUAAAAAGUAUGGAAGACUUAACAGGAGCUGAUUCCUGAAACAGUGACGUGGGAUAAUACAUUUGCAGGUCAAUGUAUUUAAUCUAUUCGCAGUUCGUCGAUCAAGAAAAAAAGGGGAAUAGUACAGCUGCCCAACUUCCUAAUGUUGCAAUAUGCAUCUUACGCUUCCAAUUCCGGAUUGUGUUCCCGGAACAAGAUGGUUGAGCACGUU